UCCCUGGAGGACUAGUGGUUAGGCCACAGCUCUCUAACCACUGCGGCCCGGGCUCGACUCCCGGCCGGGGAA
rnacentral:tRNA from 1 species